GAAGUAUUAGUUUAAUUGUAGAACAUGCGGCUGUUAACUGCUCGGUGUGAUUGAUCACAUAUUUCG
rnacentral:tRNA from 1 species